AAGCCACAUGCCGUUCCUGUGUGGUAACCAUGCCUGUUCAGUAGCUGUGUCUUCAUGCAGCCUCUUGUGAAGCUGGAAAAGUCUCUUAUUAAAAACAUCAGUUACACUACAGUGACCACACACACACACACACACACACACACACACGUUUCCAUAGAGAGAGGUUCCACUUUGCAUUAGCAGCUCAUGCUUCAGCGCUCUGCGAGUGUUUAUAGCCCUGUGACUUUAACACUUCAUGACUGAGAGCUGCUGCUCAGCGACUUCACCCACAGCAACCAUGAGUUUGAUCAGCGUCUUCAUCUGCACACUGGCCCUCUGCGCUCGAGGAUCCAGAGGUCAGGUGACUGUGACUCAGAGUCCUGCAGUGAAAUCUGUUUCUCCAGGAGACACACUCACCAUCAGCUGUAAAACCAGUCCUGCUGUUUACCGCUAUGCUAGUGGCUGGAGCAGCUAUGACUGUUUGUCCUGGUAUCAGCAGAAAGCUGGAGAAGCUCCUAAACUCCUGAUCUAUUUAGGUAGCACUAGAGCAUCAGGUAUUUCAGCUCGUUUCAGUGGCAGUGGAUCUGGAUCUGAUUUCACUCUGACCAUCAGUGGAGUCCAGGCUGAAGAUGCUGGAGAUUAUUACUGUCAGAGUUACCAUUAUAUCAGUAGUAGCAAUGUGUUCACACAGUGUUAGAGCGUCGUACAAAAACCUGGGUGAGUGUGACUGCUGCAGCUGGGACCUACUGCAGGUGCUGAGGGGGACGAUGUGAUACAGCACAGUGACACACACACACACACACAACAAACUCACUACCCCAAGCACACACACACAGAAACACACCCUCACUACUCCACACACACACACAAACACAACACACUCACUACUCUGCACAGACACCCACACACACAAUGACACACACUGUGGAGGAGAACACACACACACACAUACACACGCACGCUCACUACUCUAUACACACACACACACACACAAACUACACUACUCCAAGCAAACACACACACACAUAUACACAAACAAACAUUACUCCACACACGCACACUCUCACUACUCCACACACACACACAAACACUCACUACUUCACACACAGACACACACAAACACAAUCACUAAUUCACACACAUACACAUACACACACACUCACUACUCCACACAAACACACACACAGAUCACUACCACACUAAGCAUACACAAAGCACUCUUUUUCAAAAAUACAAAAACCACAAAAACAGUCACUGAAUAAGCAUUUAAUGAACAUUUCACCGUUCACAAUUCUCCUUACCUUACACAAUGAGAUGAGCCACAAAACAAACAUUUCUCACAAGCUGCUGCAGAACAAAAAAGUAUUGCAUUUAAAUGACUUCUUCUCCUCUCAUAGUCUGGAUUUUAUGUUUAUCACUGAAUCCUGGAGAAAGGUUGGUGAUUUAACCACGUUUUCUGAAUCAGUUCCAACUGACUGUACAUUUUUUAACUCUCCCCGUCCAAACAGACAA